UACGUAGGGUGCGAGCGUUACUCGGAAUUACUGGGCGUAAAGCGUGCGCAGGCGGUUCGUUGUGUCGGUGGUGAAAUCCCCGGGCUUAACCUGGGAAUGGACAUGGAAACUGGCGAACUGGAGUGUGGCAGAGGGGGGUGGAAUUCCGCGUGUAGCAGUGAAAUGCGUAGAGAUGCGGAGGAACACCGAUGGCGAAGGCAGCCCCCUGGGCUAGAACUGACGCUCAGGCACGAAAGCGUGGGGAGCAAACAGG
rnacentral:rRNA from 1 species